AGAGAUAAUUCCAUAGGACGGCUGCGCACCUCAACCCAUCUCAGCUCAGUUUCCCCCAUAAAACCAGAGUCUCCAUUAUCUUCAUGUUCUAUCUUAUUGGACCUACUUUGAUGUCUUAGGUCCAGAGGCAGAGGUCCCUGGGGGUGACAUGGGGUAGAGGCAGGAUUCAGGCUCCAUCUUAUCCUCAGUCCUGGCAAGGGAGGUCUCACUGAAGGUGGUGUCAAUUAUGAAUAAUGAACUGUCAUUUCAGAAAGGCCUUUUCCAUUCCUAGUAUUUGCACAAUUCCUCCUUUGCACGCGGUUACCCUGCAGAGGUGCCUGGUGGAUUCGCUGGAAAGACGGCAGGACCCCAGGCAUUGCCACAACUAAGUAGCGUGGGGCUCUGUGCCGCCUGGAUGCAGAAUGUCGACCUUAAGGUGAUCGCUCAGAGCAUUUCUAUCACCAAAGCCGUCACCUCACGCAUUUCAGGCAGGCCUGCAGCAAAGAAGAGUCCACCAGGACCAGCCGGGUGGACUGUGGCGGUGCCCUUGGUCCCGAGUAGGUGGCAGCCGCACAGAGGCUCCGGUUAA
rnacentral:lncRNA from 1 species